CAGCCGUAAACUAUGCGCGUUAGGUGUAUCGGUGACCACGAGUUACCGAGGUGCCGAAGGGAAACCGUGAAACGUGCCGCCUGGGAAGUACGGUCGCAAGGCUGAAACUUAAAGGAAUUGGCGGGGGAGCACCACAACAGGUGGAGCCUGCGGGUUUAAUUGGACUCAACGCCGGGAAGCUCACCGGAUAGGACAGCAGAAUGAUUGCCGGGCUGAAGACCCUGCAUGACUAGCUGAGAGGAGGUGCAUGGCGUAGACGUCU
rnacentral:rRNA from 1 species